rnacentral:tRNA from 1 species
GGGGACGUAGUGAAGUGGUUUAACACGUCUGCCUGUCACGCAGAAGAUCGCGGGUUCAAAUCCCGUCGUCCCCGCCA